rnacentral:rRNA from 1 species
CCAGAGUCCUACGGGAGGCAGCAGUGGGGAAUCUUCCGCAAUGGACGAAAGUCUGACGGAGCAACGCCGCGUGAGUGAUGACGGCCUUCGGGUUGUAAAGCUCUGUUAAUCGGGACGAAAGGCCUUCUUGCGAAUAGUGAGAAGGAUUGACGGUACCGGAAUAGAAAGCCACGGCUAACUACGUGCCAGCAGCCGCGGUAAUACGUAGGUGGCAAGCGUUGUCCGGAAUUAUUGGGCGUAAAGCGCGCGCAGGCGGAUCAGUCAGUCUGUCUUAAAAGUUCGGGGCUUAACCCCGUGAUGGGAUGGAAACUGCUGAUCUAGAGUAUCGGAGAGGAAAGUGGAAUUCCUAGUGUAGCGGUGAAAUGCGUAGAUAUUAGGAAGAACACCAGUGGCGAAGGCGACUUUCUGGACGAAAACUGACGCUGAGGCGCGAAAGCCAGGGGAGCGAACGGGAUUAGAUACCCCGGUAGUCCUGGCCGUAAACGAUGGGUACUAGGUGUAGGAGGUAUCGACCCCUUCUGUGCCGGAGUUAACGCAAUAAGUACCCCGCCUGGGGAGUACGACCGCAAGGUUGAAACUCAAAGGAAUUGACGGGGGCCCGCACAAG